rnacentral:rRNA from 1 species
AUUGAACGCUGGCGGCAUGCCUUACACAUGCAAGUCGAACGGCAGCGGACCUUCGGGUGCCGGCGAGUGGCGAACGGGUGAGUAAUAUAUCGGAACGUACCUUUCAGUGGGGGAUAACGUAGCGAAAGUUACGCUAAUACCGCAUAUUCUGUGAGCAGGAAAGCAGGGGAUCGCAAGACCUUGCGCUGAUUGAGCGGCCGAUAUCAGAUUAGCUAGUUGGUGAGGUAAAGGCUCACCAAGGCGACGAUCUGUAGCGGGUCUGAGAGGAUGAUCCGCCACACUGGAACUGAGACACGGUCCAGACUCCUACGGGAGGCAGCAGUGGGGAAUUUUGGACAAUGGGCGCAAGCCUGAUCCAGCCAUGCUGCGUGAGUGAAGAAGGCCU